GUGUUGUAUGAAACGACAGAAGUUUAGCAGUCUCCUUGACAAGUUCCUUAAAGCCUUCAUUCAUUCGUUAGCUAACAUUCCUUAACCAGAAAUGUUUUUUU